UACGUAGGGGGCUAGCGUUGUCCGGAAUCAUUGGGCGUAAAGCGCGUGUAGGCGGUCCGGUAAGUCGGUUGUGAAAACUGGGGGCUCAACCCUCAGAGGCCGACCGAUACUGCCGGGCUAGAGUCCGGAAGAGGCGAGUGGAAUUCCUGGUGUAGCGGUGAAAUGCGCAGAUAUCAGGAGGAACACCAAUGGCGAAGGCAGCUCGCUGGGACGGUACUGACGCUGAGGCGCGAAAGCGUGGGGAGCAAACAGG
rnacentral:rRNA from 1 species